rnacentral:rRNA from 1 species
AUUGAACGCUGGCGGCAUGCUUUACACAUGCAAGUCGAACGGCAGCGCGGGCUUCGGCCUGGCGUCGAGUGGCGAACGGGUGAGUAAUACAUCUGAACGUGCCCAGUCGUGUGGGAUAGCUCGGCGAAAGCCGGAUUAAUACCGCAUACGACCUGCGUGUGAAAGCGGGGGAUCUUCGGACCUCGCGCUAUUUGAGCGGCCGAUGGCAGAUUAGCUAUUUGGUGGGGUAAAGGCCUACCAAGGCGACGAUCUGUAGCUGGUGUGAGAGGACGACCAGCCACACUGGGACGGAGACACGGCCCAGACUCCUACGGGAGGCAGCAGUGGGGAAUUUUGGACAAUGGGCGAAAGCCUGAUCCAGCAAUGCCGCGUGUGUGAUGAAGGCCUUCGGGUUGUAAAGCACUUUUGGCGGGAACGAAAAGGACUGUGCCAAUACCACGGUUCGAUGACGGUACCCGCAGAAUAAGCACCGGCUAACUACGUG